rnacentral:rRNA from 1 species
AACCUGAACUCAGUCGUGAUUACCCGCUGAACUUAAGCAUAUCAUUUAGCGGAGGAAAAGAAACUAAAAAGGAUUCCCUUAGUAACGGCGAGUGAAA